UUAAGAAAGCUUGAAAUCUAGAAUCACCUACAAUCCAUGAAACUCUUUGGUGUUUGAAUCAAAGCUGCUUGGUUUUUCAAGGAGAACAAAACUCUCCAAACAAAACCACUGAGGAGCCUUGGUGUGAGAGAUAUUCCCAUGGAAAGUUUUGAGUGAUUUUGUGUUUUGGUGAUAUUGAGAGUGUAUAGAAGCUUAGGAAGUUGAACCCCCUGCAUUCUAGAGCCAUCCAUAAGAUGAACCAAGUGAUGGUUUGGUGAUAGGAGAUUUAUUGGUUGAGCCAUUAGAUUGAAAACUUAACACUUGGAAUUGUCAUCAAAGAGGUACAGGUACCUCGAGGUAGAUACCUCUAGCGGCAGGAGGCCAGAGUUGAGCUGACUUAUGCAUACUUAGUGGUUUAUCUGUACUGCAUGAUUAUGCCUGAUUUACAUUUUAUGGCUAUUGUAUUGAGACAUAAUUAUGUUGUGUUAUUUGGUGAGCAUGAGAGUUGUCCAUGCCACAUUGAUUUCUGUUAAGUUGUAUAAUUGUAUCUAGAUAUGGUCUGGUCUACGUCUUGUAGUUCUGUGACUUGAUACUAUUUAUGAGAUGAGGUUAUUC